AGCAGAGAGACCCGCGAAC
rnacentral:rRNA from 3 species